CACUGUAGCCAGGAGCGGGCUUUGUCCUGUCUGGGGAAGAAAGAGCCGGUGUUUAUCCUUCACGCACUCAUCCGCGAGAUCACUGCUCCAUCCUGACCCAGUCUGAGUCCUGGACAGCCCCUCUGGCCCCUGUUCCGGCCGAGGCGGAGGGGACACUGAGAAGCGGGCGGCGCGGCCGGUGGGUGUGCGGCCGAGCACUGAGCNNNNNNNNNNNNNNNNNNNNNNNNNNNNNNNNNNNNNNNNNNCAGACCCCGCGGCGGGCAGGAGAGGCGGCCCGGCACCCCUGAGGAUGCCCCGGGUGUUUGGGGGCUGGGGAUAAAAGGCCGUUCCCGCCAGCCUUCCCGCAGUCUCAGGAAGGACCCCGUCACAGGUGCACAGCCCCCGCGUAUCUGUUCAGCGUCCUGCUUCCGCACCCUCUCGUCCCUCCAUCCUACGCUUAAUAAAAGAGCAUGCUUGAUAUCAUCACCUGAAGUCUGUCUUGUUCCUUUAAAUGUUUGCUUCAGUUUUGUGUUUUGCUUUUUUGUUUUGUGUGUGUGUGUGUUUUUUUUUUUUUUUUAUUUUAAAACUCACACUGGUAUGAUACCCAACUGGCCUUCAAUCUGUGCUUCAUGGAUAAUAUUGCUUAAAGGAAGACCAAGUUAGAAAAAAAAAAAAAGUGAGCUCUUUUAAAGGAAAUUAUUAGUAUAACAGAAUGCAAGGUCCCUGUGGGAAACAGCACAGCCAAGGCUCACAAAUCAAAACUGACAUUCUUGAAAGGUGACUCAGGCAACAGUCUGGUGUACCAGGAUGAGGAGAAGGGUGAAGAGGCUGUUCUAAGGGCCUGAGACAGAGGAGAUGGAGGCUGAGUGGAGGACUUGGGGUGCAGGUGAGGGGCAGUGGAUGGAGAGAGCUGGCAGGUCCUGACCAGGUGCAGAAGCUGAGAUGGGCAGAGUAAGGUACUGGGCCCCCACCUCUUUGUCUAGUUAAGGGUCAUUUAGCCCAGCACCUUCUAGUCAGUAAUAUUUAGAGAGGGAAUGAAUGAAAUGGAUGAAUGAAGAACUGCAAAGUCUCUACAUUCCCAUAAUCCUUGGGGGGCAUCUCUGGCCCUUUCCAGUGGCUAAGGCUCCUCACUCCUAGUGUAGGAGGCCCAGGUUCGAUCCCUGGGCAGGGAACAAGAUCCCCAGCACAGCCAAAUAAAUAAUAAAUAAAAAUAAAUUACAAAAAAGGAAAGAAGGGGGCGGCAGAGGGGCGGCGGAGGGCCGGCCACAGAGGAGCCACUUCUGAGGGCCUGGGAGAAUGACAGGCUCACAAAAUGAGAAGGUUCUGCAGGGGAAGGGGGGUGAUGAGGGC
rnacentral:lncRNA from 1 species